GCCCAGACUCCUACGGGAGGCAGCAGUGGGGAAUAUUGGGCAAUGGGCGCAAGCCUGACCCAGCAACGCCGCGUGAAGGAAGAAGGCUUUCGGGUUGUAAACUUCUUUUGACAGGGAAGAGCAGAAGACGGUACCUGUCGAAUAAGCCACGGCUAACUACGUGCCAGCAGCCGCGGUAAUACGUAGGUGGCAAGCGUUGUCCGGAUUUACUGGGUGUAAAGGGCGUGUAGCCGAGCUUACAAGUCAGAUGUGAAAUCCGGGGGCUCAACCCCCGAACUGCAUUUGAAACUGUAGGUCUUGAGUAUCGGAGAGGCAGGCGGAAUUCCUAGUGUAGCGGUGAAAUGCGUAGAUAUUAGGAGGAACACCAGUGGCGAAGGCGGCUUUCUGGCUCAUAACUGACGCUGAGGCGCGAAAGCGUGGGGAGCAAACAGGAUUAGAUACCCGCGUAA
rnacentral:rRNA from 1 species